UAAUACUUGCUCUGUGCAUUCAAAAUUAUUUAAAAUUGUAAGGGAAAGAACAAAGCUUUAGUGAUAGUAGGACACUGCUGAUGAACUUAAAAAAGCAUUCUGCUCCUGAACAUGCCAAAUUCUGGAGCAAUGGGCAGCAGCCUCCCAAACUGGACAAAUGUCAGCAAAGGCCUCCAUGGAGAAAAAAACCUUGUGUUUAAGCUCUGGGAUGGAAGCUGUGGUCAGAGCACCUCCACUACAAGAGAACUCAUGAUAAGAAAGGGAACACUGUCUGCACAGGAAACAGGAGAUUUUCAGGCUUUGACCAGUGAGAGAGAAUGAAAUUACCUCUCCAAGAGCUGAGCUUACUGCUAUUCACAAUUAGUGUAGCAGUCACGGUGUGCCUUCCUGCUUACGUGCCAGCAGCUGCGGUGGGCCUCUCCUGCGGGACUGUCCUGCCUGCCUGCCAGCCAUCAGAAGACGUCUUCCUACCUAUCACAAGAUGCCACAAUGCCUAGGAGAUACUUGGAGGAGUGGCUGAGCUUGAUUGCUAUAUAACCAGCCAUUGUGUUUUCAAUAAAGGAUCUUUUGCACUACCCUA